UCUUUGCACGAAAUUUAAGGUUGGGUUAUAUUUUUAUAUAACACAUUAAAAGGGAAUCAAGUAAAAACUUGAGCUGUACCCGCAACUGUAAACUUAGUUCUGAAAAGAAUGCUUGUUGUUAGCUGCAAAGCCACUGUUCGCCCCUGCGAUUGGGAAGGUAAACAACAAGACGUAAGCCAGGAGACCUGCCUUUAUAACAAAUAUCGA
rnacentral:ncRNA from 1 species